rnacentral:rRNA from 1 species
UACAGAGGGGGCAAGCGUUGUUCGGAAUUACUGGGCGUAAAGGGCGCGUAGGCGGCCGGUUAAGUCGAACGUGAAAUCCCCGGGCUCAACCCGGGAACUGCGUCCGAUACUGGCAGGCUUGAAUCCGGGAGAGGGAUGCGGAAUUCCAGGUGUAGCGGUGAAAUGCGUAGAUAUCUGGAGGAACACCGGUGGCGAAGGCGGCGUUCUGGACUGCUACUGACACUGAGGAACGAAAGCCAGGGGAGCAAACGGG